GCCGGUGUGGCGGAAUUGGUAGACGCGCUCGACUCAAAAUCGAGUGGAGCAAUCCGUGUCAGUUCGAGUCUGACCAUCGGCA
rnacentral:tRNA from 1 species